GUGCCAGCAGCCGCGGUAAUACAGAGGUCCCAAGCGUUGUUCGGAUUCAUUGGGCGUAAAGGGUGCGUAGGUGGCGAGGCAAGUCAGGUGUGAAAUCCCAGGGCUCAACCCUGGAACUGCACUUGAUACUACUUUGCUUGAGUACUGGAGAGGAGAUUGGAAUUUACGGUGUAGCAGUGAAAUGCGUAGAUAUCGUAAGGAAGACCAGUGGCGAAGGCGAAUCUCUGGACAGUUACUGACACUGAGGCACGAAGGCCAGGGGAGCAAACGGGAUUAGAUACCCCGGUAGUCC
rnacentral:rRNA from 1 species